rnacentral:rRNA from 1 species
GUGCGGGGGGCAGCUACCAUGCAGUCGAGCGGUAACAGAUCCAGCUUGCUGGAUGCUGACGAGCGGCGGACGGGUGAGUAAUGCAUAGGAAUCUGCCCGAUAGUGGGGGAUAACCUGGGGAAACCCAGGCUAAUACCGCAUACGUCCUACGGGAGAAAGGGGGCUUCGGCUCCCGCUAUCGGAUGAGCCUAUGUCGGAUUAGCUAGUUGGUGAGGUAACGGCUCACCAAGGCCACGAUCCGUAGCUGGUCUGAGAGGAUGAUCAGCCACAUCGGGACUGAGACACGGCCCGAACUCCUACGGGAGGCAGCAGUGGGGAAUAUUGGACAAUGGGGGGAACCCUGAUCCAGCCAUGCCGCGUGUGUGAAGAAGGCCCUCGGGUUGUAAAGCACUUUCAGCGAGGAAGAACGCCUAGCGGUUAAUACCCGCUAGGAAAGACAUCACUCGCAGAAGAAGCACCGGCUAACUCCGUGCCAGCAGCCGCGGUAAUACGGAGGGUGCAAGCGUUAAUCGGAAUUACUGGGCGUAAAGCGCGCGUAGGUGGCUUGAUAAGCCGGUUGUGAAAGCCCCGGGCUCAACCUGGGAACGGCAUCCGGAACUGUCAAGCUAGAGUGCAGGAGAGGAAGGUAGAAUUCCCGGUGUAGCGGUGAAAUGCGUAGAGAUCGGGAGGAAUACCAGUGGCGAAGGCGGCCUUCUGGACUGACACUGACACUGAGGUGCGAAAGCGUGGGUAGCAAACAGGAUUAGAUAUCCUUGGUAGUC